rnacentral:lncRNA from 1 species
UCUUCGCUUCCAAAUAUUGCGUGUUUUUGGUGAUCGUGAAUAGCUUUAGACACAUUGUCUCAAGGCAAUGGAUCUACUUGUAGUUAGAGAAAUAGAUUUUUUUUUUUUUUCAAAUAAAGGAAAAGACCACUCUGACUAUAGUAACGGUGCUAUGCAGUGUUUGAUAUUUUUAUUUGUUCAGAUUUUCUUGGUCAAAUUUGAAUUGCAUAUGGUGAACAAAUUUAUCAACAG